rnacentral:tRNA from 1 species
GGGGGGUUGGCGCAAUUGGCUAGCAUCCCAGGUUCGCACCCUGUGGUCGUGUGUUGAACUCCCACUCCUCG